UCUUUUAAAAUGAAUUAUUUUUUUUUUUGAAAGUUAGAAAGAAUUGAAUUUUCUCAUUCCAAACAUGAAAAUUGACCAAAAAGAAAUCAAUUGGAUUGAAUUCUUGUAAAAUUCAAGUUUCCAAACAAGGGAAUAAUAUCAAAACCUUCUAAUGUUGCUUCCCCCUCGCGGAAAAAAGAAGUGCCCCACUGUAAUUUUUGGGGCUUAUUGAUAACAAUGAGACAAGUAAUUGCAAAGCCUAAAAUAAGGGAUAGGCAGGGUAACUAGCUGGUGAGCUUUUAAAAGUUUAGCUAUGUAUAUAUAAUUUUUUGUUCUAAACUUUUAAAAGGCUCCUUUUUCAUUUGAAAUAAAAUAAAGUAAAAGGAAAAAAAAUAGCAUCAGAAUUUCUAAUAGUACUGACAGUUUAAAAAAAUGGAUGUCAUUUAUGAUUUUAAUAUUCAUUGCAUAAUUUCUUGUCUAUCUCUAUUCAUAUAAUCAUUUCUUAGCUCUUUUGAGAGAGUUUUAUGAGUUAUAUAUGGUGCUUAUUUUGCAAUACCGAUUAUGUGUAUACUUUUUUGCUAUGUGAUCUCAUGGAUCCAUACCUGUGUCCAAGCAUUGGAUUGGACUUGUCAAUGUUUAAGGGAUGCUUCUUUGUUUCUAAAUGUCAGGCACCCAUAUCCAUGUAAAAGUGUUGGGCUUGGAGGAUUCAAGUAGUAUAGGCUUCACUAUUUCACGAAUGUUCACUUGCUAAUUUGUGGUUAUAUUGCUGAUUGUAUAUUUUGUAGCUCUUGUUGAAAGUAUGUGUGGCAAGGGGAGAGGAGAUACCAAAGAUCAUCCACUAAGUCACUGGUUUUUGAAUUUUUCAGAAGCAGAUGAGCUUUUGAAACUUGCUGCAGCUCGUCAGCAGGUUAGCAUGUCUGGGUUCAAAUGAACGUGGUCAACCAACUUAUGAUUGUUUAUGAUUAUGCUCACAGUUUUAUUGGUAGUUGUGAAUUAUAUUGCUGCAAUUUGACUUGGAAAUUGUGAAUUAUAUUGCUGCAAUUUGACUUGGAAAUUGUGAUGAUGUUAAUCAAAGAAUAUAGGCCCUUGUUCAUUUAUCAAAUGGAGUUGCUUUCUGUUUAUCCUUUAUCAUGUUUGGACUUUUCAAGAUGAUAAACUCUAAAAAAUGAUGCCCUAUCCAUUCCAUUGUAAUUUGUUGUCUUACAAAUGUCAAUAUUUGAUAUGCCUAAUUCAACACAGUUGUGGAAGAAAUGAUCUAACAAAUUUAUGGAUAUCUUGGUUAUGGGUAUACAAUAUAAGCUUUUCUAGUUGCAUAUACUAUUGAUAAAUGACAGCGCCACUUGAGUGGCAUUUAUUCUGUUUCAUGCUCCAUCUUGUCUGCUUGCUUGUAUUGUUUUGCUGACAGGCUUCUUUAGUUUAGUCAAGAUGUAUUUCUGAUGAUACAAAAUGUGAUAGGUGCAAGCUCAUAUUGUUAAGCUGAGAAGACAAUUGAAUGUGAUAGAUGGGCUACCUCAAGGUCCUCAACUGUCUUUAAUGGCCUCUGCUUAUGAUUUAUGAAUGUACAUGAUCAAGCUGGAUUAUUUUGGAACUUCUUUUUCUAAUUUAAAUCAUGGAAGACAAUUGCCCUUGGUAAUGAGAUGUGAAGCUUGUGGAAUAGCCCACAUCUAUGGACUUUCUUUGCAGUGUUUGUUUUAGUUUUGCUAAGUUCUACUUCUGUAAAGGGCUAAGUAUUAUAUUAGCAAAGAAAUUUGUCAGAAGUUGUAUGACAUGUUCAUCUGUCUCUUAAAGAGUUUGCUUGAGUAGAAUGUUUGUAAUGCUAUUUUUACUGCUGAUUCUUGCUCACCAAUUUUUUAAAUCCUCUAUAGUAGUCUUGGGAGCUGAAAAAUUCACCCCACUGAAGGGGAGACAAUCAAGAUAAUUUUUUAUUUUAAUCAAAAAAUUGAAUGAUGUAGGAGAUUGUUGUACACUUUUAUCUGUAAUUUGAUUCAGG
rnacentral:misc_RNA from 1 species